AUUGGACGCUGGCGGAAUGCUUUACACAUGCAAGUCGAACGGCAGCACGAACUUCGGUCUGGUGGCGAGUGGCGAACGGGUGAGUAAUGUAUCGGAACGUGCCCAGUCGUGGGGGAUAACGUAGUGAAAAUUACGCUAAUACCGCAUACGAUCUAUGGAUGAAAGCGGGGGAUCGCAAGACCUCGCGCGGUUGGAGCGGCCGAUAUCAGAUUAGGUAGUUGGUGGGGUAAAGGCCCACCAAGCCAACGAUCUGUAGCUGGUCUGAGAGGACGACCAGCCACACUGGAACUGAGACACGGUCCAGACUCCUACGGGAGGCAGCAGUGGGGAAUUUUGGACAAUGGGCGAAAGCCUGAUCCAGCCAUUCUGCGUGCAGGAUGAAGGCCCUCGGGUUGUAAACUGCUUUUGUACAGAAUGAAAAGGUUUCUACUAAUACUAGGAGCUCAUGACGGUACUGUAAGAAUAAGCACCGGCUAACUACGUGCCAGCCGCCGCAGUAA
rnacentral:rRNA from 1 species